rnacentral:rRNA from 1 species
GCGGUAAUACAGAGGGUGCGAGCGUUGUCCGGAAUUACUUGGGCGUAAAGGGCGCGUAGGCGGUUCGGUAAGUCGGGUGUGAAAACUCUGGGCUCAACCCAGAGACGCCACCCGAUACUGCCGUGACUCGAGUCCGGUAGGGGAGCAUGGAAUUCCUGGUGUAGCGGUGAAAUGCGCAGAUAUCAGGAGGAACACCAGUGGCGAAGGCGGUGCUCUGGGCCGGUACUGACGCUGAGGAGCGAAAGCGUGGGUAGCAAACAGG